AGUCGCGCAGCGAGAAGGAUCGCCAUCACACGGCGCACUGCUGCGGCCUCUCCCCCGAGUGGAUGAACAUGUGCUUGGUGUAGUUUUUCCUUGAGCUGAACGUCUUGCGACAGUGGCCGCACUCAUAGUUGAUGAUAUAAACUGGCUCAUUUGAUGCCAAGACUGACCAUCACCACCAUACCAAGAUCAUCACUGAUCAGAGGCCUAACCCAAGGAAGGGGUCAUGUGCAGACCAAGCGGUGGGGAGGAAAGAUGCUACAGAGGAGACGGAUGCCCACAGAGGCCCCUGAGCGGAUACAGUGCUCACUAAGUGGGCUGACCCCACAUUGGACACCGCUGCAUCCAUGUCCAUCACACAACACAGCUGCCUUUUCUUCUGCCUGCUUAUGGGAAAGUCCCCUCUUCUCCGUUUUCUUCUCUUCCUGCCCUAUCACACUGUGCACUUCUCCCUUUCCUUAAAGAACCACCAUCAACUUUAGGAGGAGGGAAAGGGGUGGCUCUGGCAGGAAAAGCCAGAAUCCCCUCUAGCCAGCAGAGAGAGAGGAAUGGCUGCAUGUUUUCUCCCCCAAUCCAAGGCACUGGGUCUUGGCUGGGUUGCAGGUUCCAAGCUGCUCUCCUGCUGUGUCGGUGAGUUCUGGUCAACCUGCAACCUCCUGAUGUGGCCAUUGCAGUUCAUCGAGUCUUCAGGGACUCCCCAUGGCCUGGAGUACUUUGCCUUGCUUACACGGGAGAGGAGAAUGGAUUUAUAGAGAACAUCAUCUAAAUCCAACUUGACCAUUGCGUGGCCACACUUGCUAGAUUGCUGUAGUCUAAAUCUAGCAUUGUAGAAAGAUGGGGGAGCUUGAAGCUGCACAAACCCAGGUCUGGAACUGGCUCCUUACCUUGGAAGGUGAAUGAUCCUGGCAGGACUCUUAGCCUCCCUGGGCCUCAGUUUCUUUAUCUGUUUCAUAGGAAUGAGGAUCUCUGCUGGGUGGUUGGGUGAUGUGGGGGCUGUGUGAAAACAGCUUGUCAAUACAAGCCAAAAUAGAAAUAUUUCUCCACAGAGUAUGAAGGUCAAAUGAGAGAAGACAUUUAAAUUAAAUGGAAAAUUAAAAUGGUAAAAAAAAGGCAAAGCUGUAUUGAAAGUUCCGAGCUUCUCUAUAAGGAGCUUUUUGACUAUGUAAGAAUCCUGUACUCGUUCUUCCUAAAUAUAAAAAAAAAAAGUUGAAGGAGGCAGAAGGGAGAGUGAUGCACGAUGGGCGAGGACUUCACCUGCUGUUGCUGGCUUUGAGGAUGGAGGAAGGAGGCCACAAACCUAGAAACUGGAGCCCCUAGAAGCUAGAAAAGGCAGGGACCCGAUUCUUCCCUUGAGCCUCCAGAAGGGACAUAGCCCCGCCAGCACCUUGACUUUAGCCCAGUGAGAUCCUCUUAGGACUUUUGGCAACCAGAACUAUAAGACAGAAAUGGAAGCUACUGAGUCUGUAGCUGUUUGUUGCAGCAGCAAUAGAAAACUAAUGCAGAGCCCAAGAAAUCACUGGUGAUGAGAUUGGGAAAGUGGGCUCAGGAGGUCUGGAUGUGUGAUGAGAUGGGGAAAGUGGGCUCAGGAGGUCUGGAUCUGUGAUGAGAUGGGGAAAGUGGGCUCAGGAGGUCUGGAUCUGUGAUGAGAUGGGGGAAGUGCGCUCAGGAGGUCUGGAUCUGUGAUGAGAUGGGGAAAGUGGGCUCAGGAGGUCUGGAUCUGUGAUGAGAUGGGGGAAGUGGGCUCAGGAGGUCUGGAUCUGGGGUGGGGAUCUGGAGUGGAAGGGGAAUUCAUUUGUUCAUUGUCUAUCCUUUUGCAUUGAUUGAAUUUUUUUCUAUAUAUAUGUGAAUUUUCACAAUAAAAUUUUUUUCCAAAAUAAAAGAAACAAAA
rnacentral:lncRNA from 1 species